rnacentral:rRNA from 1 species
UACGAAGGGGGCUAGCGUUGCUCGGAAUUACUGGGCGUAAAGGGCGCGUAGGCGGACAGUUAAGUCGGGGGUGAAAGCCCGGGGCUCAACCUCGGAAUUGCCUUCGAUACUGGCUGUCUUGAGUGCGGGAGAGGUGUGUGGAACUCCGAGUGUAGAGGUGAAAUUCGUAGAUAUUCGGAAGAACACCAGUGGCGAAGGCGACACACUGGCCCGUUACUGACGCUGAGGCGCGAAAGCGUGGGGAGCAAAC